AAGUCGUAACAAGGUUUCCGUAGGUGAACCUGCGGAAGGAUCAUUAACACGUGCUUUUAAAACACACGUAUUAAUCCACCGAGAAUUUGUUAAUAUCUAUCCUAUUGUUGGAUGCAGACAGACGAAAUGAGGGAAUGCUAUGGGCCGCCCUUCUUUUUCGAAAGAUUGUACGCCCUAACUCAUUAGUCGUCCUUAGGUCCGCCCUGGGGUUUGCACUGACAAAUAGCUGACGAGUUACGACUGUGAAUGCCUGUAGCAUAGCUUUGCAGAUCGUAAUGACCGACAUUAACCCCUUUACUAUAUACUUACUGAUUUUGUACGUUUAUAUGAAUUCCUGACUGUUACUGUUAACUGCAACGGUUGGUUGAGUUUAUAUAGAUGUCGUAUAUUACUAAUACGAAACAACUCUUAGCAACGGAUAUCUUGGUUCUC
rnacentral:misc_RNA from 1 species